rnacentral:rRNA from 1 species
UAGGGAAUCUUCCGCAAUGGACGCAAGUCUGACGGAGCAACGCCGCGUGAGUGAAGAAGGAUUUCGGUUCGUAAAACUCUGUUGUUAGAGAAGAACAGCGCAUAGAGUAACUGUUAUGCGUGUGACGGUAUCUAACCAGAAAGCCACGGCUAACUACGUGCCAGCAGCCGCGGUAAUACGUAGGUGGCAAGCGUUGUCCGGAUUUAUUGGGCGUAAAGCGAGCGCAGGCGGUCAAUUAAGUCUGAUGUGAAAGCCCCCGGCUCAACCGGGGAGGGUCAUUGGAAACUGGUUGACUUGAGUGCAGAAGAGGAGAGUGGAAUUCCAUGUGUAGCGGUGAAAUGCGUAGAUAUAUGGAGGAACACCAGUGGCGAAGGCGACUCUCUGGUCUGUAACUGGCGCUGAGGUUCGAAAGCGUGGGUAGCAAACAGG